rnacentral:rRNA from 1 species
UACGUAGGCAGCAAGCGUUGUUCGGAAUUACUGGGCGUAAAGAGUGUGUAGGCGGUGCUCUAAGUCUGUUGUGAAAUCUCCCGGCUUAACCGGGAGGGUGCGGCGGAAACUGGAGUGCUUGAGGGUGGGAGAGGUAAGCGGAAUUCCUGGUGUAGCGGUGAAAUGCGCAGAUAUCAGGAAGAACACCCGUGGCUAAGGCGGCUCUCUAGUACGGUACUGACGCUGAGACGCGAAAGCGUGGGGAGCGAACAGG